rnacentral:rRNA from 1 species
UACGAAGGGAGCUAGCGUUGUCCGGAAUCAUUGGGCGUAAAGAGCGUGUAGGCGGUCCGGUAAGUCGGCUGUGAAAGUCCAGGGCUCAACCCUGGGAUGCCGGUCGAUACUGCCGGACUAGAGUUCGGAAGAGGCGAGUGGAAUUCCCGGUGUAGCGGUGAAAUGCGCAGAUAUCGGGAGGAACACCUAUGGCGAAGGCAGCUCGCUGGGACGUUACUGACGCUGAGACGCGAAAGCGUGGGGAGCAAACAGG